rnacentral:tRNA from 1 species
GGGGAUGUAGCUCAGUGGUAGAUCACUUGUCUAGAAUGCAUAAGGGCCUAGGUUUAAUUCCCAGCACCCCA